rnacentral:tRNA from 1 species
GCGGGGGUAGUUCAGUGGUAGAACGCGGUCCUUCCAAGUCCGAUAUGCGGGUUCGAUUCCCGUCCCCCGCU